UUUUCAUAAUGCCAAACCUGUCUUAUUUUUUAAUGCAAUUGUUCUCUUUCAAUUUUUAUUAAUUUUUCCUUUAAUUUUAGGAUAUCCAAUUCAGUGUUUAAAGGAGUAUUUUUAAUUUGUUCUUUUUCUAGUAUUUUUACUUUCAUGUCCAGUUCAUUUGAUCUGAAUUUUCUCUGUUUGAUUGAUGACUCCAGGCAUAGCUCUGUGCCCACACAUAUCAGGCAUGGAGGCCAGACUUCCAUGGGAUGGAAUUCCAGACCUCACAAUAGGUUUGCUUGGGGCUUUACAGUAUGUAAAUUAUGUAUUGUGUUGCAUUCAUGUUGGCUUAGGAAGCAUCUCAGGCCGCCUUGGGCCCAGGUUCGAAACCUGGAAAAUGAGAUGUGAGCUGGGGGAUGGGAGGGCAAAGGGAUUUGCUGUUGGCUUGCUCCUUGCUCUUUGUCAGUCUCCUGCAGGCUGUGUUCUCCUCUCUCCCCAGUGACCCUUCGGGGUCUUUUGCCUACAUUUCCAUUUGUUCUCUACAUAAAGUUGCUUCACUCUGUCUCCUUGUUGGCUCUUUCACUCUUGUAUUUGUUUUGUGGUAUUAUGUUAAGAUUGGUUGGAGAGUAUUCUCAAGGUGGUUUGGAGUUUCCUUGAUUCUACUCCGCCAUCUUGGCUCCCUCCCUGUUGAACUUUUAAGCUACCUCCAAAAAAGAGCACAUGUGUGUGGGAUUAUCAGUAUGGCAGAUUUUGGAAUGAUGUAUUGGAGAAGGAAGAGGCUAAAAACUAAGUAGUAAGUGGUAAACUAAAUACAAUUAGAAAAAAGGAAUAUAAAAACUACAGAAAUGGGAUUGGAAAGAAAAACAACGCAACACAUUAGAACCAAAUAUCCUGUAAUUAUAUUGGGCACAAAAGAAAAGAACUUGUACUUCAUUCUCUUUCUUGAAUAAUUUUGCACUAUAAGUGUGAACUAUUGCAUAUACCACUAGACUAAAUUUAUUUGUUGUUGACUUCUGCUGACCUAUUUUUUCCUUAUCCCGUUUCUUUCUUUUUAUAGAAGAUUGUGGGGAGGAAGAUUGGGAUGUGAAGAUGAGGUAAAAAUAAAAUCCACCAGGUUUUAAAAGAUAAAUACA
rnacentral:lncRNA from 1 species